rnacentral:tRNA from 1 species
GAUCGGCUAGCUCAGCUGGUAGAGCACUUGACUUUUAAUCAAGGGGUCCCGGGUUCGAACCCCGGGCCGGUUA